UCCCUAGUGGCUCAGACAGUAAAGCGUCUUGUCUGCAAUGCAGGAGACCCAGGUUCAAUCCCUGGGUUGGGAA
rnacentral:tRNA from 1 species